rnacentral:tRNA from 1 species
GGGGGUAUAGCUUAUAUAAAGUUUCAGAUUCUUACUCUGAAGAAGUUUCAAAAUUUUAACUACUCCCA